rnacentral:snoRNA from 1 species
AAGACUUUAUUUCCAGGGACCAUUUCUAUAGUUCGUUACUCAACACGUUUCUCAGGUCAUGUAGAGAAAACCACAAAGAGCAGCCAGAGCGCCCUCUCCUGAGCAUGAACCCGGCUCUGGGUGUGGCUUUUAACUACCUUUUGCAUUAAAGAUGACUCUUCUCUUCUCUUUGGAAAAGUGAGAGGGAGGAUGUAGUCUGAAUGG